AACGCACCUUGCGCUCCUUGGUAUUCCGAGGAGCAUGCCUGUUUGAGUGUCAUUAAAUUCUCAAACUCCGAUCGAUUUGUUUCGACUUCGGGGCUUGGAUUUGGAGCGUGCUGGCGUCGGUCGGCUCCUCUUAAACGCAUCAGCGGAAUCUAACGUUCCGGACGUCAGUGUGAUAAUCACGUUGCGCUGUCUUUCGGUCCGAAAAGCCCGCUCACAAUGGUCUUCGGACAACUUCAUAUCAAAUUUGACCUCAAAUCAGGUAGGACUACCCGCUGAACUUAA
rnacentral:misc_RNA from 1 species